GUGUAACAGGCACAGUACUAGGCAAAGAUGUCUGACCUUCUGGAACUUAUUUCCCAACUGGGAGAAAUAUAGCGUCAUGGUCAGUAAAUAUAACAUGUAAAUACAUGAGUAGUCAACACAGUAGUUUAGAAGUAUCAAAAGCUAUGAAGAAAAUAUUAGAGCUCAAUAAGGAGGACUGAGGAUGAGGGAAAGAAUGCGUUGUAAGUGUCAAAUGGUUAAGGAGGAUAGACCUCGUUAGUAAAAUGGCGUGUGAACAAAGAUUUGCAAAUGUCUGGGAGAUGAAUGUUUCAGGCAGAACAAUCAGCCUAAUGGCCCUACAAUGAGAGAAGUGCACUAGCUUGUAGGAGAACAGCAAGAAAGCCAGGUACUCUGGGACGGACUGAGCCAGGAACACUAGUAAGACAUAGGAUCAUAGAGGUAAAGGGGCCAUAUCAUACAGGGCCUGUAGAAAACCCUAAGAACUUUGAUUUACACUUUACAUGAAAUGCAGAUUGCUUAAAGGGUUUGGAACAGAGUCAUAUGUGAUAUUUUUUUAAGUUUUAACAGGCUUACUCUGACUGCAUUUGAACAUGCCUCCCAAAGACGGAAAAGAAAGCUGGCAACCAUCAGCAGCAGACCCACUGUGGAGUCUCCUGGGAAAGUGUGAACAUGACAGUAAACAGCUUACAUCAAAGACAUUUCAAUUCUGCAACAAGCCUUUCUGCUUCGGAGAGGAGGAAUUUCCUGGAAGAAAAGGAAAACAAUCUCUUCACAUUUUGCUCACCAAAGGGCAGUGGUGAGGCCCCUGCCUCGUGAAUAACCUUCAUUCUGAGUGUGCUGUAAAUAUUGAAUAGAUUGUAAAAGUCUGCACAUAUAUAUUAAUAUCAUUGCAUUCUUCAUAAUGAAUCAUUGCAGCAUACUUUUUAAACUUGAUCUUGUUUUUUAUCUUUAACAUAGUAGGAAAUUGAUUACAGAGGUCUAUGGCAUGACUUUUUCUUUACUGACCAUCCAAAUUUCUGAGAAAUGCAAAUUUUUAAUUUUUUCUUUCACGAAUUGCAUGUAGAUACAGAAAGUGAUAAUUCCUUUAUAUUUAGAGCUAGUCAAAGGCUCCUUGAAGAUAGUGGCCAAGUUUAAUUUUCAUAGCUAAAUAUUUUCAGUGAGGAUUUUUAAAUAAUUUAAAAGAUAAACAGAAGAUAUAGUAUGUUAAUAAGAUUUUAAAGAAACAUAGAAUAACCUGCAUCUUUUAGGGGUUUUUAAUGUUUAUUUAUUUUUUCUUUAGUAAUCUCUACACCCUACAUGGGGCUCAAACUCACAACCCCAAAAUCAAGGGUCCCUUGCUUUUCCAACUCAGCCCUGUAACAUUCAUCUUUUAAUUUGGAAAAUAAAUACGUAAA
rnacentral:lncRNA from 1 species